rnacentral:rRNA from 1 species
AGCUGAUCAGCCAUGCCGCGUGUGUGAAGAAGGUCUUCGGAUUGUAAAGCACUUUAAGUUGGGAGGAAGGGUUGUAGAUUAAUACUCUGCAAUUUUGACGUUACCGACAGAAUAAGCACCGGCUAACUCUGUGCCAGCAGCCGCGGUAAUACAGAGGGUGCAAGCGUUAAUCGGAAUUACUGGGCGUAAAGCGCGCGUAGGUGGUUCGUUAAGUUGGAUGUGAAAUCCCCGGGCUCAACCUGGGAACUGCAUUCAAAACUGUCGAGCUAGAGUAUGGUAGAGGGUGGUGGAAUUUCCUGUGUAGCGGUGAAAUGCGUAGAUAUAGGAAGGAACACCAGUGGCGAAGGCGACCACCUGGACUGAUACUGACACUGAGGUGCGAAAGCGUGGGGAGCAAACAGGAUUAG